UCCACAGUGCCAACAUAACAGCCUGACCACUCAUCUCCUACUUCCUCUGCGGGGUGAACUUUCCAAAGACGACCACUGUAUUAAGACUCCGUCACCUGGCAAUGGCAACGACCACCAUCAAAAGACUUCGUCACCAGGGAAUCACAGACUCAAUGUGCUCCAUCCACAGUGCCAACAUAACAGCCUGACCACUCAUCUCUUACUUCCUCUGCGGGGUGAACUUUCCAAAGACGACCACUGUAUUAAGACUCCGUCACCUGGCAAUGGCAACGACCACCAUCAAAAGACUUCAUCACCAGGGAAUCAAAGACUCAAUAUGCUCAUAAGGUUUUGAAACUCCUUACGUAGAAUUGUGGAAAAUCCAGACUUAACAAAUUGACCCCUCAUCUCCUACUUCCUCUGCGGGAUGAACCUACCAAAGACCACCACCUUGUUAGGAUUCAGUCACCUGGGAAUGGCAAUGACCACCAUCAAAAGACUUCGUCACCAGGGAAUCACAGACUCAAUGUGCUCCAUCCACAGUGCCAACAUAACAGCCUGACCACUCAUCUCCUACUUCCUCUGCGGGGUGAACUUUCCAAAGACGACCACUGUAUUAAGACUCCGUCACCUGGCAAUGGCAACGACCACCAUCAAAAGACUUCAUCACCAGGGAAUCAAAGACUCAAUAUGCUCAUAAGGUUUUGAAACUCCUUACGUAGAAUUGUGGAAAAUCCAAACUUAACAAAUUGACCCCUCAUCUCCUACUUCCUCUGCGGGAUGAACCUUCCAAAGACCACCACCUUGUUAGGAUUCAGUCACCUGGGAAUGGCAAUGACCACCAUCAAAAGACUUCGUCACCAGGGAAUCACAGACUCAAUGUGCUCCAUCCACAGUGCCAACAUAACAGCCUGACCACUCAUCUCCUACUUCCUCUGCGGGGUGAACUUUCCAAAGACGACCACUGUAUUAAGACUCCGUCACCUGGCAAUGGCAACGACCACCAUCAAAAGACUUCGUCACCAGGGAAUCAAAGACUCAAUAUGCUCAUAAGGUUUUGAAACUCCUUACGUAGAAUUGUGGAAAAUCCAAACUUAACAAAUUGACCCCUCAUCUCCUACUUCCUCUGCGGGAUGAACCUACCAAAGACCACCACCUUGUUAGGAUUCAGUCACCUGGGAAUGGCAAUGACCACCAUCAAAAGACUUCGUCACCAGGGAAUCACAGACUCAAUGUGCUCCACCCACAGUGCCAACAUAACAGCCUGACCACUCAUCUCUUACUUCCUCUGCGGGGUGAACUUUCCAAAGACGACCACUGUAUUAAGACUCCGUCACCUGGCAAUGGCAACGACCACCAUCAAAAGAUUUUGUCAACUGGCAAUGGCAACGACCACCAUAAGAGGACUCUGUCACCUGCGUGUGCAGUCUGUGCGUAGCUCAAUACUUACUACUCCAGUGCAAAGAAAACGGUCUGAUUGGGUCCGGAGCUGACGUCACACGCCCUCCCUGAAAACGCUUCCUGACACUCCCAGAAAGUGUCCAGUUACCACCCACAAACGUCCUCUUCCUCUCAAUCCCCUUGCAAUCAUUGUACCUAGUGUGUCAGGAAUCUGCAUUCUCCGUCGCAUCACUACAGUGGAACUACAGGUUCCAGCAGUUCAGUUCUGUUCCAGUUUUCAGUCUACUGCAGCCUGGAGUACACAGUGCUUCAGCUAACCCACAGCUGAUCUGAACACCUAAUCCAGCAGGGUGUGUUCUCACAGAGAUGCAACAUCCAAUCAUCACAGACCAAGGGGUAUAAACUCCAGUUCCUGGCUCAGUCUCAUUGCCUUGGGCAACACGUCACAUUCUGUGAACAGGUGUCUCCUGUUUUCAGUCCUCUGUCUGCAGAGAUACCCCUGUGUAUUGGACCUGUGGAAAUACAGGUUCCAGUUCCAGGUUCCAGUCUUCAAUCCUUUGUUUCCAGCAGUCUCCUAUUUCUGGCAUCUCCAAGUUGUUUCCCUGUUCCAGUGUUCCUGUGGAACUACAAGUACCAGCAACCACUCCAGCUCUCCUGCGAGUCACAUUCAGUGUGCAAGUUCCUGUUUCCAAUGGUUUCCUUGUCAUUCUUCAGUCUUCAGUUUGCUAUGAACUCCAGCCACAGUUUGCCACAACAACUUGCAGUAAGAGACUUUCUUCAGGUGUUCUUCUAUUACUCAGCCUGUGCACCCGAUUACCAGCAUCUAGCAUUGUGCAUUGCAUUCAGCACUUAACAACUUGCUGUGUUAGAACUGUCUCCUGCUAGGGCCUUGCUUGGCUUAAAGACGUGUGCUUCUACAGAGACUGUGUACUUUGAUUGCUGUUUGUUAUAUAUCGGAGUUUCGUUUGCUGCAUCUGAUUUCAUUAUUGCCUUAUCAUUUAUAUCAAGUUACAAGUUCAUCUUCAUUGCUCAUUUGUUACCAGUGACUUUUGAAUAUCGGAUUAAGUUAUUAUUCAUUGUUCCUGUCAUCCGUUAUCCCUGUGUGAUAAUAAAUA